AAGGAGUAGGACAGGGUCUGCUAUUGAUUUUGUUUUGGUAGAGAAUUUGAUUCUAUCCCUUUCCCCGAAAGGGCCAUGUCAUUGGCAUUUGAUAUCCUCAAUGACCUUGUGGAGGUUAGUGAAGAAUUGCCGCCAUGACUCUGCUUCAGGUCAUGACUCUAUUUCAGUCUCUUAUCCGAUUUUGGCCUCUAUUU